rnacentral:rRNA from 1 species
GGGGGGGGGGGGGGGGGGGGGGGGCGGGGGCGGGGCGAGCGGGAGGGGGGGGCGGGAGCCUGCGGGCGGAAGGCUUUAUUUCGAGUGGCGGACGGGUGAGUAACGCGUGGGUAGCCUGCCUCAUACAGGGGGAUAACAGUUGGAAACGACUGUUAAUACCGCAUAAGACCACAGCACCGCAUGGUGCGGGGGUAAAAACUCCGGUGGUAUGAGAUGGACCCGCGUUCGAUUAGCCAGUUGGCGGGGUAACGGCCCACCAAAGCGACGAUCGAUAGCCGAUCUGAGAGGAUGACCGGCCACAUUGGGACUGAGACACGGCCCAAACUCCUACGGGAGGCAGCAGUGGGGAAUAUUGCACAAUGGGGGAAACCCUGAUGCAGCGACGCCGCGUGAGUGAAGAAGUAUUUCGGUAUGUAAAGCUCUAUCAGCAGGGAAGAAAAUGACGGUACCUGAGUAAGAAGCCCCGGCUAACUACGUG